AUUGAACGCUGGCGGCAGGCUUAACACAUGCCAGUCGAGCGAGCGGCGGACGGGUGUGUAACGUCUGGGAAACUGCCUGAUGGAGGGGGAUAACUACUGGAAACGGUAGCUAAUACCGCAUACCAUCAGAUGUGCCCAGAUGGGACUAGCUAGUAGGUGGGGUAAUGGCUCACCUAGGCGACGAUCCCUAGCUGGUCUGAGAGGAUGACCGGCCACACUGGAACUGAGACACGGUCCAGACUCCUACGGGAGGCAGCAGUGGGGAAGCUUGCGCAAUGGGCGCAAGCCUGAUACAGCCAUGCCGCGUGUGUGAAGAAGGCCUUCGGGUUGUAAAGCACUUUCAGCGGGGAGGCGUUACUCGCAGAGGAAGCACCGGCUAACUCCGUGCCAGCAGCCGCGGUAAUUC
rnacentral:rRNA from 1 species